CAAAUUGGACAGCGGCAAAGAGCU
rnacentral:piRNA from 1 species